UACAGAGGUCCCAAGCGUUGUUCGGAUUCAUUGGGCGUAAAGGGUGCGUAGGCGGCGCCGUAAGUCAGGUGUGAAAUCUCGGGGCUUAACUCCGAAACUGCAUUUGAUACUGCGGUGCUUGAGGACUGGAGAGGAGACUGGAAUUUACGGUGUAGCGGUGAAAUGCGUAGAUAUCGUAAGGAAGACCAGUGGCGAAGGCGGGUCUCUGGACAGUUCCUGACGCUGAGGCACGAAGGCCAGGGGAGCAAACGGG
rnacentral:rRNA from 1 species